CCAUCCAGUGUUAAUCACUAAGCUCUUCUUCCUCGUUCAUUUCUCUCUUCUUCUCUCUUUAUUUUUUCUUCUUCCUUUCUCCUUCUCUUUACUGAUUUCUUCUCUUCUCCAUCCGAGUCUCUGAUAAAGAGACGAUCGUAGGGGAGAAGAGGAGAUAAAAGAAAGAGAGAUGAAAGGGAGAGUCAGAGAUGAAAGUGAGAGAUCAGUGAAGAGAGAGAGACCCGGUUCCCCUUUCUUCUCCUUAACUCCUUUCUUCCUUUGUUCUUUCUUUUCUUCUUUUCUGAGACAGAGGAUGAGAGAGAGAGAGAGAAUCAGAGAGACAUAGAGAGAGAGAGAGAGAGAGAAUCAGAGAGACAUAGAGAGAGAGAGAAUCAGAGAGACAUAGAGAGAGAGAGAGAUUUAAACCGGGUGAAGACCCGAUCGGAGGCCGAUCUUCCGGUGGAGCCAGUGAACCCGUCAGACCCAAGAGUAUCCGAAACCUAGGAGACCCGAAAGAAGCCCGAUCCUCCGAUGGAUUUUCAGCAUUUGGAGCGCGACUUCCGAUGGAUCAUUGGCUGGUUGAGCUAGGGGUGAUUUUCGACGAUUCUAGCCGGAAAUUCGGUGAUUUUCAGGGGCGAUUUUUCGGUGAAGCUUAGAGAUAUUUUCCGGGUUUUAUAGAUGAAGAUUAGAGCUCGAGAGGUUUUAAAGCUAAGGACACAUUGAUUAUAUUUUGUUUGUAGUCUUCUGUAUAUAUAAGCUUCUAUGUUGAUAAGAUUUCUAAAAUUUCCAUGUAUCCUUUUGUGUCACUAUUGACACCUGUUUACAUGUAUUUGUUCUAAGUAUUUUUAAUGGAUGUCUAGAAGUAUUUCAGUUAGAAGUUCUGAUGUGUUAUUUAAAUCCAAAUUUGUGGGAUAAUUAUAUAUUUCGCUGCUAUAUUGUAACUCUGUUGUAGUAAUGUCACAUGAAAAUCGAAAAAUUUUCACUUAUGUCAUUUUGUAAAAGGCGGGGCGUUACAGAGUGGUAUCAGAGCGGGUUGCUCUGAGGACCCUAAGACUUGACCCUAAAAGUUUAGAAAUAACACAAGAGCUAUAUGUAUAAACCAUUUUUCUGAAAAAUGCUUUGUGUGAAUUAUGUGAUGUCUGCUUAUUUAUGCUUCCAUCUUUGGAUGAGCUAUGAAUGUGUGCAUCUCAAUGUUUUGCUAUAUAUUGGAAAACCUAUUGAUCUAAUUUGCAUGCUAAAUGAAAAUUGUACUAAAUAUGAAACUGCUUUUAUUAAGAAAUGAUUUUGAAAUGAGGAAAAUAUUUUAAGAAUAAACUUUCAACAUUUGUGUUAGUUUGUAGUUGGCUAUAUUCUAUUAGACAAAAUCACUUCUAUGUAAUGAUACAUUUAAAUAGGGAUUCAGCUAUUCAGAGGUCUUCUAGAAGAUUUUGCACAGUCUAUAAGUCAGAGAAAUCGGAUUUGUAACGCCCUGCUUUUACAAAAAGCGUAUUACAAGAUUCCUUGCAGUCGUCCGAACGACGUGAUAUACCGUCCGGACGCCCAACUGUCCAAAGCAUCAUCCGUCCGGACGACGAUAACUUUCCGUCCGAACAUUCCUUUAUGUCGAGAAGCUUUGAACUGCUCCAGCUUGCAUCCAUUCGGAUGUUUUAGCAGCACUUCUGGAAGCCACUCAGUGUUCGACCAGCUAUGAAAUUUCUUUCCAAAACACAGAUAUGGGAAGACAGUUGCAACCGUCCAGACGAUGUGGAUUCCCGUCCGGACGCGCUCAUCCAUAAGGCAAGUCGCGCAUUCAAAAUUCAGAUGUCCGGACGCGUGAGCUACACAUUUGGAAAUUGGCUGCAUCAGAUCAACCGUCCGGACGAUCAUUCCUAUGGUCUGGACGUGCGAAGCCUUAAUAUGAAAAUUGUGUGCAGCGAAGGUGCGACCGUUCGAACGACAGGGUAACACCGUCCGAACGCGACUCAAAUCAGGAAAGAAUUUCAGCAAAAUUUUGGAAAGCCAAUCGCACAGUUGUCCGUUCGGACGUCUUAUGUCUACCGUCAGGACGGCUCCUAGGUUUUUCAAGCUAGCUGCUCAUUUAAACCUGCAGCCUAUAAAUAGAGGUUCCUAGGCUUGAGAACUACAAGAAUUUAGUAUUGAAUUCCUUAGUGUUUAGAGAGUUAUACUUUAGAAUUGUUGUGCUGAGUUAGUCUCUCCUAAGCCAUUGUUGUGUGUGCUGUUGCUGCGCUGAUUUGAAGUCUAUCUUAGGGGUUGGCCUUAGGGUAAAAGAUUCCUUUGAAGACCCCUUCAGGUAGGAGACCUGGUUGGGUGGCCUUCGUAUUGGGUUACAUGUCAAAGUUCAAGGAUGGUCGGUUUUCAAUUCAGAAUCUUCAUGUAUUCAGACAAUGAUCAAAUCAAAGACAAUAACUGAUCACAAGCUUUUUAAAGAUGUCCAUGAAGAGUCCUUGCAAAAUCCAAGACAAAAACAACCGGUUCCUGUGCAACUAUCCGGACAAGCCUUUGAAGGCGUCCAGACGCCCCUCAGUGUCCAGCAGAUAACGAUGAAGACGUCCAGACGUUAGAGCAACACCGUCCGGAUGCUAGGUCAAUCAGUAUUCAACAAGUAGUUGGAUUUUAGAAGCCGACACUAUUGGGAAGUCUCUGCAAGCCGUCAGGACGACGUGACAACACGUCUAGAUGAUGUCCAGUAUUUCAGAAUAUUCCAAAGUUUCGUUCGAACGUGGAAAGGAUUUUAGUGAAGACCGUCCGAACGCUCGAUCAAGCCGUUCGGACAUAAACCUAAUAAAGAUAGAAUUGCGCUGUUUCUGAAUGGAUAUCGCAUAAAACCAUCUGGACGAGGCUAACUUCCGUCCGGACGCUCGCCAGCCAGAGUCUGAAUCUCAGCAGUUUUUGAGGUCUAUUUAAGCCUAUAAAUAGGGGGCUUUAGGCUAGUGUUUUGUACAGAAUUCGACAGUGAAUUCCAUAGUGCUUUGAGAGGGUGUUUAGGGAGAAUCGAAGAUCCGCUAGCUUUGAAGCCGUUACCGGUGUGUGCUCAGUUGUUCGUGUGAAGUCUAUCUUAGGGGUCGGCCCUAAGGUAAAGGAAUCCAUCAAAAACCCCUUCAGGUGGAAGAUCUGGUUGGGAAGCAUUCGUGUUGGGUUACACGUUAGAGUUAGAGGUAUGACUACUGCAUAAGGGGAAGUGAGUACAAGUGUCUUGUAACUAGCUUUGUUUUUGGAAAGUGGAUUUCUUGGGUUUGGCUGCCCUAGAGUGGUUUUUCUCUUCACAGAGUUUCCACUUCGUAACAAAUAUCUUGUCUUAUUUAAAUU